rnacentral:miRNA from 1 species
CUUCCAAAGGUCAUUUUUUCAUC